rnacentral:lncRNA from 13 species
GAAACAUGAAAUGAAGUGUGCAGCAAGUUGGAAAAGCUGCUCGAGCAUAAUGCAUUUUUUAAAGAAUUCUGCCGUUGAUGAUGUCACUUCUUUGUUUACUUUUGUCAAUGAAUGUCAUAUUUGUUACAAGAUGAAACCAAAAUAUACCCAGGUCCGGCUAAAGAAGGAGAAAAAAAGGUACGUUUGAAUACACGUUCAGUGCAUCAUUUUUGCUAACACUGACAGCUUGCUAGCAACACAUGACCGGCCACCCAAAAUUGGCUUGAUUGGUAUUAAUCAAUCUCGUGUAGUUAAGUUAGCUAACUUGAGCUAACCUAAGUUAUCUGAACUGCGCUAGCUAGCUAACGUUAGCUAAAGCUUGAAUCUUGAAUGCAGUGUUUCAUCAAUUCUAAAAUAAAAGUUAGCUAACUAAUAAUGCUGGAAGAAGUUUAAGAAAAGCACUGCUUUUUCUUACUGUAGGUUCCAGGAGGAGGGAGGAGACAAUGUGAGAGAAAGUUCACAUUUAGCUGCAUUCCAAGCUCCCAGUCUUGCAGGAGAAGGGGCUAUACACCUUCCUCAGAAUGCUCAGACCACUGCCCUCCCCCCACCAGGUCUCAGUAGAAAGUACCCCCUACCUCAACCCACUCUCUCAGCCAAGACCAAGAUUUGGAUGCCAGUGCAAGAGACCUGGAAAGGAGAACCUUAUGACAAGCCUUUGCUCAAAUACACAAUAGCCCUCCCUAUUAGCAGGCGCCACUGUAGACCUCGUCCAAUAAAACGACCCGUCCCCAACCCUUCCCCCAACCUGACUGAUAAAAGAGUGAAGUUUAAACAUCCUGAGGCCACCCUCCGUUUUAUCCCAGUGAGGCCAGACUUAGAGCAGCUCACCAGGCAGAGAACCCUCCCUGGUAGUCAGUUGGUUAGACCUGUGACACCCAGACCACCAUCACGUAAGCAGCCCCCCUCUGCAGACCAUAGCCCCCUAGACAGUAUCCACUCACACAGAUCCCUUGCUAAGGUGCAGCCUGCUGGAGGUGAGGACAGGGGAGGCGGAGGAGAUGGUGCCUCCCUAUCCCGCUCUGUCAGGGAUUUGCAGUUGCUUAGCUCCAGCUCCAACGACGAGGAUUCUGAGUCUCCUUCUGAGUCCCAGUUCCGAUGUACCACUCCGGUCUACCUCACCCGCCGCUACCAGAACAGUUUGAAAUGGUACCAGGCGGUGCGCAGCGAGAAGAAAACCAAACAUCACAAGGAGAGGCUUGACCAGCUUUGCUAUAAGGAGGCAUCAGAUGAGUCUAAUGCUGAAAGAGGCCCCUCGGGUGUCCAGGCGAGACACACCGCCCCUCUGGGUGCUGGGGAGGGGAGGUCUGUCUGUAAACCUUACCAGGGAGGAAAGAGGAGAAGGAGUCCGCCGUCAGAGAAAGGUUGCUUACCCCCCAGCCAGGUGAGGAGAUGGGACCGCCGGUCAUGGCGCCGACAGCUAGACAGCAGUGCCUCGGACUCCCCAGCAUCUGAUGGCAGUGUCAUGCACAGCCCACUCUAUACCCACUCCCCCUUCCUCUCUCCCACAGCUACCAGCACUCCUCCCCACCCUGCUCCUCUUUCUAACACAUCUCCCAACAUCCCAAUAUUUUCCCCUUCCUUCUCUCUCAGUACGCCUUCCAGUUGUCCUAGCACGCCACUUUACCCCCACUCUUUCACCUCCAGUGCCCCUGGCACCCCAUUACGAAGUCAGGUGACAUCUUCCAGUGUUUCUGGCACCCCAUUACGGAGUCAGGUGACAUCUUCCAGUGCCCCUUGCACCCCAUUACGAAGUCAGGUGACAUCUUCCAGUGCCCCUUGCACCCCAUUACGAAGUCAGGUGACAUCUUCCAGUGUUUCUGGCACCCCAGUACAAAGUCAGGUGACAUCUUCCAGUGCCCCUUGCACCCCACAACAUGGUACCUUACACAGGGAGUCAUCGUUCCACACCAGGAGUAACAUCUCAGGAAGUAGGACUACAUGUUGUGGGCUGGAGAGCUGUCCACCAUUAGCUAAAGGGACAGUAACCCGUUCCAACCCUGAAGACUCAGUAACCAGCCCUAAAGCUAGAUGCCUAGCGGACAACACUCCAUACCCAGACAUGUUCAAUAUUAAAGAAGAUACAGCGAAGAAAGAUGAUUCUGAGAUGAGAAGGAGCAGUGAAAUGAAGAAGACUUCAACACCAAAGGAAAUUACUGAAAAAUGUUCUCCUGCCAGAGCUAUGACUUCCAUAUCAUCACAUGCCAGUCCCACUCUGAAAGAAUCUAAGAUUCCACAAGCUGACCCACGACUACGAAAAUCAAUGAAAUCAUCAGCCUCACCUGAUGUUUCUUCAACUGAGCUCGACCGGGGGACGCCCAUCCCAGGCAGUAAGCUAACACUCACCUCCAUCUUCUCCUACCCUUAUGAUGUACCACAGCUCAAAAGCAGUCCACUUAAAAGCCCUGAGAAGUCAUCUCCUCAAUCAACUACAGCAUAUCAGAAGCACAAGUCUCAAGAUAAGACAAGUCCUAAGAAAAGUCCUAAAACCAAGACCUCUGAUUCACCUAAAUUAACACCUGCACCUUCUUUGUCAGAGAAGCAAACAGACAAAACUGAGAGUAAUUUCAAGAAACCAUCAAAACC